CGUGCGGAGGCCUAACUGCAAGUCGUACCAACAGUACACAUAAGAGCUUGCUCUUAUGGGUGGCGAGUGGCGGACGGGUGAGGAAUACAUCGGAAUCUACUCUUUCGUGGGGGAUAACGUAGGGAAACUUACGCUAAUACCGCAUACGACCUACGGGUGAAAGCGGAGGACCUUCGGGCUUCGCGCGGUUGAAUGAGCCGAUGUCGGAUUAGCUAGUUGGCGGGGUAAAGGCCCACCAAGGCGACGAUCCGUAGCUGGUCUGAGAGGAUGAUCAGCCACACUGGAACUGAGACACGGUCCAGACUCCUACGGGAGGCAGCAGUGGGGAAUAUUGGACAAUGGGCGCAAGCCUGAUCCAGCCAUGCCGCGUGGGUGAAGAAGGCCUUCGGGUUGUAAAGCCCUUUUGUUGGGAAAGAAAAGCAGUCGGUUAAUACCCGAUUGUUCUGACGGUACCCAAAGAAUAAGCACCGGCUAACUUCGUGCCAGCAGCCGCGGUAAUACGAAGGGUGCAAGCGUUACUCGGAAUUACUGGGCGUAAAGCGUGCGUAGGUGGUGGUUUAAGUCUGUUGUGAAAGCCCUGGGCUCAACCUGGGAAUUGCAGUGGAUACUGGGUCACUAGAGUGUGGUAGAGGGUAGCGGAAUUCCCGGUGUAGCAGUGAAAUGCGUAGAGAUCGGGAGGAACAUCCGUGGCGAAGGCGGCUACCUGGACCAACACUGACACUGAGGCACGAAAGCGUGGGGAGCAAACAGGAUUAGAUACCCUGGUAGUCCACGCCCUAAACGAUGCGAACUGGAUGUUGGGUGCAAUUUGGCACGCAGUAUCGAAGCUAACGCGUUAAGUUCGCCGCCUGGGGAGUACGGUCGCAAGACUGAAACUCAAAGGAAUUGACGGGGGGCCCGCACAAGCGGUGGAGUAUGUGGUUUUAAUUUCGAUGCAACGCGAAGAACCUUACCUGGGUCUUGACAUCCACGGGAAACUUUUCCAGAGAUGGGAUUGGUUGCCCUUCGGGAACCGUGAGACAGGUGCUGCAUGGCUGUCGUCAGCUCGUGUUCGUGAGAUUGUUGGCUUUAGUUCCCGCACGAAGCGCACCAUUGGUCUUAGUUGCAGUCACGAUAAUGCUUGGCAGAAUCU
rnacentral:rRNA from 1 species